UACGUAGGGGGCUAGCGUUGUCCGGAAUCAUUGGGCGUAAAGAGCGUGUAGGCGGCUCGGUAAGUCCGCUGUGAAAGUCGGGGGCUCAACCCUCGAAUGCCGGUGGAUACUGUCGGGCUCGAGUCCGGAAGAGGAGUGUGGAAUUCCUGGUGUAGCGGUGAAAUGCGCAGAUAUCAGGAGGAACACCAAUGGCGAAGGCAGCACUCUGGGACGUGACUGACGCUGAGACGCAAAAGCGUGGGGAGCAAACAGG
rnacentral:rRNA from 1 species